GGGGGCGUUACGGAUUCGACAGGUGUAGGUCGAGCUUGGAUUGCGUUUCGUAGGUUACGACUACGUAAAAACGUUACAGUUAAAUAUAACUGCUAAAAACAAUAAUAACUCUUACGCUCUAGCUGCCUAAAAACAGUUGACGUAGAUCCUCCCGGCAUCGCCCAUGUGCUCGGGUAAGGGUCCUAUAAUAAGUGGGAUACGCAAAACUUUUCCGUCUGUAAGGUUUUGAAGAGAUGAUCAGACUAGCGACACAUGAUGCCUGUCAGGCGGCUAGUGUUCAGCGAAACCUUAAUAGCAUGACUAUGAACGUAGACGUCUAAGUGCCGAUAUGCUUGGACAGGGGUUCGACUCCCCUCGUCUCCAUAU
rfam:Carnobacterium divergens DSM 20623 NODE_12, whole genome shotgun sequence.